rnacentral:rRNA from 1 species
ACGGAGAGUUUGAUCCUGGCUCAGAGCGAACGCUGGCGGCGUGGUUAAGGCAUGCAAGUCGANNGCGAUCCCCGCAAGGGGAUAGCGGCUAACGGGUGCGUAACGCGUGGGGAACUUGUCCUGGAGACAGGGAUAGCACUGCGAAAGCGGUGGUAAUACCUGAUAAGCCCAGAGCCUCGCAUGGGGUGACGGGCAAAGAUGGCCUCGACCGCAAGGUUGCUAUCGCUUCAGGAGGGCCCCGCGUCCCAUCAGCUAGUUGGUAGGGUCACGGCCUACCAAGGCGUGGACGGGUAGCUGGCCUGAGAGGGUGGUCAGCCACACUGGGACUGAGA